rnacentral:rRNA from 1 species
AAUAGAUACCCUGGUAGUCCAUGCCGUAAACGUUGGGCACUAGGUGUGGGGGACAUUCCACGUUUUCCGCGCCGUAGCUAACGCAUUAAGUGCCCCGCCUGGGGAGUACGGCCGCAAGGCUAAAACUCAAAGGAAUUGACGGGGGCCCGCACAAGCGGCGGAGCAUGCGGAUUAAUUCGAUGCAACGCGAAGAACCUUACCAAGGCUUGACAUGAACCAGACCGGGCUGGAAACAGUCCUUCCCCUUUGGGGUUGGUUUACAGGUGGUGCAUGGUUGUCGUCAGCUCGUGUCGUGAGAUGUUGGGUUAAGUCCCGCAACGAGCGCAACCCUCGUUCCAUGUUGCCAGCGGGUAGUGCCGGGGACUCAUGGGAGACUGCCGGGGUCAACUCGGAGGAAGGUGGGGACGACGUCAAAGUCAUCAUGCCCCUUAUGUCUUGGGCUUCACGCAUGCUACAAUGGCCGGUACAAAGGGUUGCGAUACUGUGAGGUGGAGCUAAUCCCAAAAAGCCGGUCUCAGUGCAGAUUGGGGCUGAAACUCGCCCCAUGAA